UAUUUGGGGGUUGGGUGUAACUCAGGAUACACAUAAGUUACAGUUAUUUAGGUCUAUACAGUUAAGGAAAAAAAGAGUCAAGUGGUCACUUAGGUCACAAAAAAUUUCCUUAUGAAAACUUGGAACAUGUUUCCGCCCAUUCAGAUCAUCAUGUGCGUGAAGCAAUAGAGAACUACGAAAUUAGUAAUGUUUUAAGUGUCAAUAAAUGAAAUGCCCUUUUUGGAACAGAAAUGAUGCACAGAGGGUGUUAUGGACCCGUGGUUUUUUUCGGCAACACUUAAAUCAUUAACAGGAUACAAAUCAGAAGAGGCAUAUGCAAUGCUAAAGUCGUAAACACUGGUGACGUGACUACGAAAAACCAUGGGGAGAAUUGAAAAAUCUUGUAGCCAAGGAAUGAGCUGUUACAACUGCAAUAUGUUCAAUGUUACACAGUUUCACAUAGACGAAGAAACUAUUCAGGUCUCUGACAACUGUACCAAAUAUUUUAAAUAUCCUUCUUUUGAUCCAUUUAUCAAAGUUUACGAGGAUGGAAAAACAUUAACAUUUAACGGAUCUCGCUGUUGUGAGGGAACCCGCAUUUUAUCAUACAAUGAAGGUAAUCAAUUUGUUUGAAAAUUGUCAAACAGUAACAAUAUCGUUGUAUUACAGUACUACUUUGGUAUCUCGAACUUGGUGGGACUAAAUUAACAGUCGAUAUAUUCAAGGGUUUGGGUAUCAAAAUUGAUGAGAGUUGGUACAUCGUACCAAUGCUUGGCGUGUAUUCUAUCAUCAAAAAUAAUGUUGUUUUCUAACUUGUUAAUUAUACUGUUCACAGUAAGAGAUUCCUACAGAUCAAAAUUGCAAAACACUCAACACGAAUAACUAACUCAAACUUAUAUCGUCGAAUAAACCUCAUUUGUUGCUUGAGCGAAACAAUAACGGCAACGGUUGUUUUUUUUUUUCAGAAUGACUCUUUAUCAUUAAUAUUUCCCUCCAUGUCUGCGAACAAGUAGAGAAUCACGUGUAAGAUGAAAUAGGGGUAUCCUGUAAAUAGUUACAAUAUAUAUAUUUCUGAUUAAUAUAAAAUUAUAUGAAAUUGAUGAUGAUUUACUCGUUUGUCGUUUAACUGUAUUCCACAAGCAUCUCAACGACCGUGUAGUGAGCGACCGGCGCGCUAGGUUCCGUUCGUCAUCAAAAGCAAGAUUUUUUGCCUUGCCUAGAUGGCCGCUCACUGCUAGGAGAAUGGGUUCUAGAGGUCGUGACUUCAAGCCCCGGCCGAGACGGAGGUGGAGUUCCAAUAAGGCGAGACAAUUACCGAUUCAGGAACGACAUGAAGUACUUUGAUGGACACCGUUGCCGUUAUAUAUUCGGACCUACAUGUAUCUACAGCUUCCACAGAAGUAGUGUCUAAUAAAACUGGACCAUUUCCAGUAGAUCAAUUACAUCCACACUUGUCGGAAACGACGAUCAAAAGCCCGACAAAAAAGAUCCAAUCAUAAGUACUUUGGUGCAAGUAAAACAAAUAGAGAUGGAGUGGCAGAUUACUCACCGGUAGGAGAGUCAGCCAUAUUUGUGGAGUCCUUGACUCAGCCUAGAGCUUCACCAAAGAUGAAUAAAACGCCUUCUGACAAUAACUUGAUUAUUGAAUCAAAUGAAACGAUAUAUAACGCUGCCUAUAAUACACGAUCUGGACGAUCCAACACCGACGAAGAAAUCUACGAUGUUAUUCAAUAAAAAGUAGAAUAUCAAAGGAAAUGGAGGAAAAUGCUUACAGUCAUGUUGUUGAUUUCAGUGACAACACCACAAUUCAUUGAUGGAUAAAACAAAUAUUAAAAUAAAAGGGGUAUCUGAUUUGCAAUUAUAUAACAUUGUAAUGCGUUUGCCUUAGAUUUAACCCGCUAUUUGACUACUUAAUACAACAUACAGCAUAUGAAUAAAUGCUUUUAACAUGAAAUGGAGGAAAAUACAAUGUGCUUUUUUGUGUAUACAGUACAUUCAAAAGAGACCCGGAGAUGAUAAUAUCGUGUUUUAAUCAGUGGAUUAACUAUUUUUCUGAUAUAUAAACUUAUUGCAGUUGCAUUGAUUCGUUUAAAUAGAUUUUAAAUCACGUCAAAAUUUGCUUCACAAAAAAUGUCAAUAAUGCUACUCCUAAUUUGAACAGUAAAAUACAGAUACAGAUUCAUAAAAAUAAUUUUGAUUGUGAUAUGUUAUAUUCUCACUAUAUAAAUCUA